rnacentral:rRNA from 1 species
AUGCAGUCGUACGAGAGUUUUUACUCAAGUGGCGGACGGGUGAGUAACACGUAAGAAUUUGCCUUUAGGAGGGGGAUAACAACUGGAAACGGUUGCUAAUACCCCAUAUGCUUUCGAGUGAAAUGGUUUUUCCGCCUAAAGAGAAGCUUGCGGCUGAUUAGCUUGUUGGUGAGGUAAAAGCUCACCAAGGCGACGAUCAGUAUCUGGUUUGAGAGGACGAUCAGACACACUGGAACUGAGACACGGUCCAGACUCCUACGGGAGGCAGCAGUAGGGAAUUUUCCGCAAUGGGCGAAAGCCUGACGGAGCAAUACCGCGUGAGGGAUGACGGCCUAUGGGUUGUAAACCUCUUUUUUCAGGGAGGAAUCAAUGACGUGUACCUGAAGAAUAAGCAUCGGCUAACUCCGUGCCAGCAGCCGCGGUAAUACG